rnacentral:lncRNA from 1 species
UCAACCGCGCGCGGGGAGCCCCAUAGCAGAUGACCCAUUCCGUGCCCGUCUCCCUCAUUAACUCUGCGGUGUCCUCACAGGCAGGCAGCCAGGACUGUGUUCCUUCACAUGAAUCUUUGAUGCGCAUGAACUUAGGCAAUCUGAAUCCUCGGUCAGUGGCAGAGAUGAUCCUCCCAGUGUCUUCAUGAGGGAGCCUCUAGGACUAUCCCUCAU